CACGCCGUAAACGCUGAUUACUAGGUGUAGGGGGUAUAGACUCCCUCUGUGCCGCAGUUAACGCAUUAAGUAAUCCACCUGGGGAGUACGGCCGCAAGGUUAAAACUCAAAGGAAUUGACGGGGGCCCGCACAAGCAGUGGAGUAUGUGGUUUAAUUCGAAGCAACGCGAAGAACCUUACCAGGUCUUGACAUCCUUUGCACGUUUUAGAGAUAGAACAUUCCCUUCGGGGACAAAGAGACAGGUGG
rnacentral:rRNA from 1 species